UUGCACGCUGGCGGCAGGCCUCACACAUGCAAGUCGAGCGGAUGAAGGGAGCUUGCUCCUGGAUUCAGCGGCGGACGGGUGAGUAAUGCCUAGGAAUCUGCCUGGUAGUGGGGGAUAACGUCCGGAAACGGGCGCUAAUACCGCAUACGUCCUGAGGGAGAAAGUGGGGGAUCUUCGGACCUCACGCUAUCAGAUGAGCCUAGGUCGGAUUAGCUAGUUGGUGGGGUAAAGGCCUACCAAGGCGACGAUCCGUAACUGGUCUGAGAGGAUGAUCAGUCACACUGGAACUAAGACACGGUCCAGACUCCUACGGGAGGCAGCAGUGGGGAAUAUUGGACAAUGGGCGAAAGCCUGAUCCAGCCAUGCCGCGUGUGUGAAGAAGGUCUUCGGAUUGUAAAGCACUUUAAGUUGGGAGGAAGGGCAGUAAGUUAAUACCUUGCUGUUUUGACGUUACCAACAGAAUAAGCACCGGCUAACUUCGUG
rnacentral:rRNA from 1 species